UACGUAGGGGGCAAGCGUUGUCCGGAUUUAUUGGGCGUAAAGCGCUCGCAGGCGGCUUGCUACGUCGUGCGUGAAACACCCCGGCUCAACUGGGGAGGGUCGUGCGAUACGGGCAGGCUGGAGGCCAGUAGGGGGAUGCGGAAUUCCGGGUGUAGUGGUGGAAUGCGUAGAUAUCUGGAGGAACACCGGUGGCGAAGGCGGCAUCCUGGACCAAUAUUGACGCUGAGGAGCGAAAGCCAGGGGAGCAAACGGG
rnacentral:rRNA from 1 species